GGGUGCGAUCAUAGCAGUACUAAUGCUCCGGAUCCCAUCAGAACUCCGCAGUUAAUCGCGCUUAGGCGAGAGUAGUACUAGGAAGGGUGACCUCCUGGGAAGUCCUCGUGUUGUACCCC
rnacentral:rRNA from 1 species